GGAGUUGUAACGAGAAAGUUAUGGUCAAAAGAGUCUCAGUGGCACAACCGUAAAUAUUUCAAAGUUGGAAUUAUAAAAACAGCCCAGCUCUCUCUCUUUCCUCGCGCGACCCUCAAUCUCUCCUCUCCCGCGCGGACGGCCCGUCGCCUUCCAGAGAUCGCCGGCGCCGCCUCAGGGCACCACCGGCUACGGGACCGGUGGCGUUCGAACCGCCGUCGAGUCCCCUUCCUUUCCCGACCCUUCCCCGCCGGCGGCACGGCCUGUGCUGGCCGAAAAAUGCAGAAAAUGGUCGGGAGGUCACGGAAACUUCAACGCCGUCGAUCUCCAUCCUCCGGUCACCAUUCCCGUCGACCUAGGAUCUUGAACCUCUCGAGCUGUUCUAGCUGCCUGUUGGGUAGGAUUAGAUCGAUUCGUAGUGUAGCUAUUGGAUUUUUGAGCUUGAAGUUUCAGCCGAUUUUCG
rnacentral:lncRNA from 1 species